GGGUUGUGAGGUUAAGCGACUAAGCGUACACGGUGGAUGCCCUGGCAGUCAGAGGCGAUGAAGGACGUGCUAAUCUGCGAUAAGCGCCGGUAAGGUGAUAUGAACCGUUAUAACCGGCGAUUUCCGAAUGGGGAAACCCAGUGUGAUUCGUCACACUAUCAUUAACUGAAUCCAUAGGUUAAUGAGGCGAACCGGGGGAACUGAAACAUCUAAGUACCCCGAGGAAAAGAAAUCAACCGAGAUUCCCCCAGUAGCGGCGAGCGAACGGGGAGGAGCCCAGAGCCUGAAUCAGCAUGUGUGUUAGUGGAAGCGUCUGGAAAGGCGCGCGAUACAGGGUGACAGCCCCGUACACAAAAGCGCAUGUGCUGUGAGCUCGAUGAGUAGGGCGGGACACGUGGUAUCCUGUCUGAAUAUGGGGGGACCAUCCUCCAAGGCUAAAUACUCCUGACUGACCGAUAGUGAACCAGUACCGUGAGGGAAAGGCGAAAAGAACCCCGGCGAGGGGAGUGAAAAAGAACCUGAAACCGUGUACGUACAAGCAGUGGGAGCCCCACCACUAAGCCAGUGGUGAACUCCACAUACGCAUCCUUUGCUGAGGAUACGGUUAACGGAGCGAAAGCGACGUUCAACCGCAAAAGAAGCAGAGGGGGCUUAGUGGUGGGGUGACUGCGUACCUUUUGUAUAAUGGGUCAGCGACUUAUAUUCUGUAGCAAGGUUAACCGAAUAGGGGAGCCGGAGGGAAACCGAGUCUUAAUUGGGCGUUAAGUUGCAGGGUAUAGACCCGAAACCCGGUGAUCUAGCCAUGGGCAGGUUGAAGGUUGGGUAACACUAACUGGAGGACCGAACCGACUAAUGUUGAAAAAUUAGCGGAUGACCUGUGGCUGGGGGUGAAAGGCCAAUCAAACCGGGAGAUAGCUGGUUCUCCCCGAAAGCU
rnacentral:rRNA from 1 species